rnacentral:rRNA from 1 species
CCUAGAGAUAGGACGUCCCCUUCGGGGGCAGAGUGACAGGUGGUGCAUGGUUGUCGUCAGCUCGUGUCGUGAGAUGUUGGGUUAAGUCCCGCAACGAGCGCAACCCUUGAUCUUAGUUGCCAGCAUUCAGUUGGGCACUCUAAGGUGACUGCCGGUGACAAACCGGAGGAAGGUGGGGAUGACGUCAAAUCAUCAUGCCCCUUAUGACCUGGGCUACACACGUGCUACAAUGGACAGAACAAAGGGCAGCGAAACCGCGAGGUUAAGCCAAUCCCACAAAUCUGUUCUCAGUUCGGAUCGCAGUCUGCAACUCGACUGCGUGAAGCUGGAAUCGCUAGUAAUCGCGGAUCAGCAUGCCGCGGUGAAUACGUUCCC